UACGGAGGAUGCGAGCGUUAUCCGGAUUUAUUGGGUUUAAAGGGUGCGUGGGCGGAUCGUUAAGUCAGUGGUCAAAUUGAGGGGCUCAACCCCUUCCCGCCAUUGAAACUGGCGCUCUUGAGUGGAAGAGAAGUAUGCGGAAUGCGUGGUGUAGCGGUGAAAUGCAUAGAUAUCACGCAGAACCCCGAUUGCGAAGGCAGCAUGCCGGCUUCCGACUGACGCUGAAGCACGAAAGCGUGGGGAGCAAACAGG
rnacentral:rRNA from 1 species